UACGGGGGGGGCAAGCGUUGUUCGGAAUUACUGGGCGUAAAGGGCUCGUAGGUGGCCAACUAAGUCGGACGUGAAAUCCCUCGGCUUAACCGGGGAACUGCGUCCGAUACUGGUUGGCUUGAGUUUGGGAGAGGGAUGCGGAAUUCCUGGUGUAGCGGUGAAAUGCGUAGAUAUCAGGAGGAACACCUGCGGUGUAGACGGCUUACUGGACCACGACUGACGCUGCAACUCGAAAGUGUGGGGAGCAAACAGG
rnacentral:rRNA from 1 species